rnacentral:lncRNA from 1 species
AUCCCCAGCUCAUUGCAAGGAUGUACAGCUCAGCUAGAACGGCUGAUGAAGCAAGGAGCUAGAGCCAGUGAGGGUUUCCUUCUUUUCAAAGUCCCCUUUGUUUUGGGUAAUUUACUUUAACUUUGUAGAGGAAAAAAUGGUCAGGUGCUCCCUGGAAGGUCCCAGGCCUUGUACCUGAUAGAGCUGGAAUUCAGAUCCAAAACCCGCGCUUGUUCCCACCGCAAGCUGGUGACCCAGAUGGAGAGCGGUCGGUCACAGCAAUGCUGGGUGACGGGGAAUAUAAACUCUGGCCCUUGGGUCAAGCUAGCUGGCUACCUAUUUUGUGAGACAUCAGUUCUACUCAGCUCCGUGAAGACCCAGUUAAAAGGAGCGGCUCAGAGUUCCCUGCCCAUUUGGGAGCCACUGGUGACUUCCCAGAGUCAGCGAGGCCUUCUCAGUUUGGGGAGUUAGGGCUCCGCAGCGCCUCCCACAGUUGACAGCCACAUGUUGUGCAGUCUGGAUGGAAAAACCCGACUCUUAUCUUUGGGUCUCCGAAGAGCUUUAACGGAUUUUUAAGAAUUCAGGGAAACCAUGAUAGACUUGGCAAAGUACUUCGCCCCUGAGCUUUUGAAAAUAUGCAUAUCUUAAGAAAUGCCUUACACAGGAACAUAACGACUGUGUGCCUUAUUCGUUCA